AUAAAUACGAAGACAGGGACAGUACAGGAAGAUGACUGCUGUAUUAGCGAUCCGGGGUCGGUGUAAGCCUGGAACAGAGCCUUUCUGGAAUAUCACCCUUAAGUAUCCGCGUUGAAAAAGAGUAGGUGCGGACGUCUUGUUCACGUUACGAAUUUUGAGUGGAAGGUUCUUUUAAAGUCCUUCUAUAAGGGUGGUACCGCGAGUCCUUCUCGUCCCUUCG
rnacentral:ncRNA from 1 species